rnacentral:lncRNA from 1 species
AAAGGCCCAACUCAGACAUUAUCAUCACUGCCCACUAAUUGUAUACCAAAUAUACACUAUAUAUACAUUGUGUAUACACUAUUACAUUAUGGUACAUCAUGUAUCUCAACAAAACUUAAGAGCAAAAGAAGGCAACAAUAACAUUAUUAACAUUGGAGAAUUCAAGAGUAACAAUCACCGGUAUCAUAGUGCAAUAGAGAAGAAUCAUAGCACAAGUAGCGCUUCAGUUUUUUGAGGGAUCAGUUGUGCUGUACUUUUGUCUUGCAGUAAUCAUCUUCCAUUGAAAUAUGAGGGUGCCCAAAUUCUGUUGCAAAUAUUGAAUUCAGAUUCAAAAACUAGCUUCAUAAAUGUGUACUUUGUGAAACAAUUGGAAUAUUUAUGUUGAUUGUCGAAAUUGUUUUCAGAUUACAUUUUCGUUUAUGAAAUCAUUAUGAUAUCCAAAGGAAUUCCAGCAGAAGGGUUUGACACGUCCAUUUGCAAUCUGUUGAUUGCUUUCAAUUAUUAUAUGAACAUUUGAUUCUGGAUGAGGGUAAAAGGUCAUAUUAGAGUUGCAGAAGUUCCCAACUUGAGGUAGCAGUGAAGUAGAGUUGCAUCUACUUAUGGUUUGCUUUUCUGAUUAACGGUACAAAUUUCAGGUGGCGAUACUAGGUGAAAUGGUGGGUUCCCAGAGAGCGUCGGACAAGUUGCUGAUGUGUUACUAUCCAUUUCUAGGAUUUGCUGUUUUAGCAAUUUUACGUGGUCUAAUACCUCAUUCUGGCAAGACUAUGAGCAUUGGAAAAAGAUCUGAUAUAAGCAGGAAGAAGAGGGCUUAAUCUUUCAACUCAGAAGCUAUAAUAGAAGAGUUUGUAUUUCUUCUGGCAUUGAUACCUAAAAACAAUAGCAAUUUUUGUUCUUGUUCUUUCUUUGUUUCCCCUGUUGAUAUUAAAUUCUGAUGCUUGGGUAUGAGUUUUGACAUAAACAAUCACAAAAUGAGUUGUAGUUUCACAAUUGCUGGCCACUUGUUAGUUUUAAAAGCUUGAUAUGAUUUUUUUAAAUAUCUCAACUGUGGUUCGUGACAAUCUGUCGUAUCUUCGAAGAAUAAUUGAUUCAGAUUGAAUAACGAUUGGAGUAAUUUUUUAGUAAUCUUAU